CCUACGGGAGGCAGCAGUGAGGAAUAUUGGUCAAUGGACGCAAGUCUGAACCAGCCAUGCCGCGUGCAGGAAGACGGCCCUAUGGGUUGUAAACUGCUUUUGUAUGGGAGUAAAUCGCGAUAUGUGUACUGGUUUGCAAGUACCGUACGAAUAAGGAUCGGCUAACUCCGUGCCAGCAGCCGCGGUAAUACGGAGGAUCCGAGCGUUAUCCGGAUUUAUUGGGUUUAAAGGGUGCGUAGGCGGUUCGAUAAGUUAGUGGUGAAAUUCUGGGGCUCAACCGCAGCAUUGCAUUUGAUACUGGCAGCCUUGAGUAUAGUAGAGGUAGGCGGAAUGCAUGGUGUAGCGGUGAAAUGCAUAGAUAUCAUACAGAACACCGAUUGCGAAGGCAGCCUACUGGACUGUAACUGACGCUGAGGCACGAAAGUGUGGGGAGCAAACAGGAUUAGAUACCCUAGUAGUC
rnacentral:rRNA from 1 species